CAUUACUGAGUUUACGCUCUAUAACCCUUUGUGAACAUACCUAUAACUGUUGCUUCGGCGGGUAGGGUCUCCGCGACCCUCCCGGCCUCCCGCCUCCGGGCGGGUCGGCGCCCGCCGGAGGAUAACCAAACUCUGAUUUAACGACGUUUCUUCUGAGUGGUACAAGCAAAUAAUCAAAACUUUUAACAACGGAUCUCUUGGUUCUGGCAUCGAUGAAGAACGCAGCGAAAUGCGAUAAGUAAUGUGAAUUGCAGAAUUCAGUGAAUCAUCGAAUCUUUGAACGCACAUUGCGCCCGCCAGCAUUCUGGCGGGCAUGCCUGUUCGAGCGUCAUUUCAACCCUCAAGCUCUGCUUGGUGUUGGGGCCCUACAGCUGAUGUAGGCCCUCAAAGGUAGUGGCGGACCCUCCCGGAGCCUCCUUUGCGUAGUAACUUUACGUCUCGCACUGGGAUCCGGAGGGACUCUUGCCGUAAAACCCCCCAAUUUCCAAAGGUGACCUCGGAUCAGGUAGGAAUACCCGCUGAACUUAAGCAUAUCAA
rnacentral:rRNA from 1 species